GGGGCGUUAGCUCAGUCGGUAGAGCAUCGGACUUUUAAUCCGCUGGUCGACGGUUCGAUUCCGUCACGCCCCA
rnacentral:tRNA from 3 species